rnacentral:piRNA from 1 species
UAAGAGGUUCCUAGCACCCGCGUGGCA